CAGCAGAUGAUGAGCAUACUCGGAUUCCCCUUUCACGACAUCACAAUGGAUGAUGCAAAUUCGAGUUUCUGAUGCG